rnacentral:rRNA from 1 species
UGGAGCAAACGCCGCGUGAGCGAUGAAAGGCCUUCGGGUCGUAAAAGCUCUGUUGUUUAGGGAAGAACAAAGUGCGAGAGUAAACUGCUCGCACCCUUGACGGGUACCUAACCCAGAAAAGCCACGGCUAACUACGUGCCAGCAGCCGCGGUAAUACGUAGGUGGCAAGCGUUGUCCGGAAUUAUUGGGCGUAAAGCGCGCGCAGGUGGUUCUUUAAGUCUGAUGUGAAAGCCCACGGCUCAACCGUGGAGGGUCAUUGGAAACUGGGGAACUUGAGUGCAGAAGAGGAAAGUGGAAUUCCAAGUGUAGCGGUGAAAUGCGUAGAGAUUUGGAGGAACACCAGUGGCGAAGGCGACUUUCUGGUCUGUAACUGACACUGAGGCGCGAAAGCGUGGGGAGCAAACAGGAUUAGAUACCCUGGUAGUCCACGCCGUAAACGAUGAGUGCUAAGUGUUAGUAGGGUUUCCCGCCCUUUAGUGCUGCAGCUAACGCAUUAAGCACUCCGCCGUGGGGAGGUACGGUCGCAAGACUAGAAACUACAAAAGGUAAUUGACGGGGGGCCCCGCAC